rnacentral:misc_RNA from 1 species
CUGCUCCGCGCUCUGGACAUGGUUGGUGAUGGGGUUGGCGAGGUACUGGAGCUCAGAGCAGUAGGAGGCCAUGGCGAUCUCGGUGCCCUUGAACCCGUAGUCCAAGCUCGGGUUGCGGCUGCCGGCCAGGUUGGAGGUCAGCCCGUUGUUGUAGAACUCGUUCACGAGCUCGGAGAACUGCGCGAACAUGAGCUUGCCGAUGUUGGCGAUGGCGAGACGGGCGUUGUCCAUGGACACACCGAUGGGGGUGCCCUGGAAG